rnacentral:rRNA from 1 species
GACGAACGCUGGCGGCGUGCUUAACACAUGCAAGUCGAACGAUGAACCCGGAGCUUGCUCUGGGUGAUUAGUGGCGAACGGGUGAGUAACACGUGAGUAACCUGCCCUUGUCUCUGGGAUAAGCGUUGGAAACGCCGUCUAAUACCGGAUAUGACCUUGGAACGCAUGAUCUGGGGCGGAAAGUUUUUUCGUUCUGGGCUGGUAUCGUGGCAUAGCAGCUUGUUGGGGAGGUAAUGGCUCACCAAGGCGUCGACGGGUAGCCUGCCUGAGAGGGUGACCGGCCACAGUGGGACCGACACAGGGAGGAGACUCCUGCGAGAGGUAGGAGUGGGGAAUAUGGCACAAGGGGCGAAAGCGUGAGGGAGCAGCGGGGCGUGCGGGAGGAAGGCUCUCGGGUUGGAAACCACCUAAAGUAGGGGAGAAGGGCUUCGGCUUGACGGUACCUGCAGAAAAAGGACCGGCUAACUACGUG